UACGUAGGGAGCGAGCGUUGUCCGGAUUUAUUGGGCGUAAAGAGCUCGUAGGCGGUGUGUCACGUCGGCCGUGAAAACCCGCAGCUUAACUGUGGGCGUGCGGUCGAUACGGGCAUCACUGGAGUUCGGCAGGGGAGACUGGAAUUCCUGGUGUAGCGGUGAAAUGCGCAGAUAUCAGGAGGAACACCGGUGGCGAAGGCGGGUCUCUGGGCCGAUACUGACGCUGAGGAGCGAAAGCGUGGGGAGCAAACAGG
rnacentral:rRNA from 1 species